UCAUUGCUAUUGUUUUCUCUUUUCUCUCUAGUCUCUUCAAUCUCGUAAUUCAGGUCGAAGGAAGAUUUCGUAUACCAAAGACAAGAACUUGUUUGUUCCUAUACAUUCAUCACAAUCAAAAACUAUAUCAGAUUUGUUCCCAAAUUAUGGAAAGACAGAAGAAAACUAGUUAACUGAAAGUGAAAGGGGUUUUUUUUUUCUUGGUGUCCUUGAUUUGAGAUUGAAGGAUUGGAACUUGAAAUAAAGAUGGAGGUGCUGAUUUAUUUGCUUGUGGAAUCUCUUCCACAAAUGUUAUGUGUGAUUUCAGUGUUAUGCUUUGUUACUUUGAUAUAAGUGGUAACCAUACUAGAACUGCUCCAUGGAAGAUCAGCAUGCCUCCAUCUGUACCAUCAUACUUGUUGUAGCUCGGGGAGGUGGCAGAAAUCUUGAAGGAUAUUCCAGACAUAUCUAUUAUGGAUUGAAUGAACUAGUACUCAAAUCCAAGGACUCUUUUUUGACAGCAGAAGUUCCAUUGGCUUGGCACCAGACUUGUUGCAUUUGAUAGUUUACCUUCGGUUGUUGAAUUAGUACAUAUUCUUUUCCCUAAAAAAGAACACAAUACUCUUUUGUGUUAACUUCUUUUGUAUCAAAAUUCUAGUUCCUAAACUUAGUAUUUUUUGUUUGUUUUA